GAUAUAUCGGUAGGGGAGCGUUCUGUUGUAGAUUGAAGUAUUAACGUAAGUGGAUAUGGACGAAGCAGAAGUGAGAAUGUCGGCUUGAGUAACGAAAAUAUAGGUGAGAAUCCUAUACCCCGAAAACCCAAGGUUUCCUCUGGAAGGCUCGUCCGCGGAGGGUAAGUCAGGACCUAAGGCGAGGCUGAAAAGCGUAGUCGAUGGACAACGGGUUAAUAUUCCCGUACCAUUAUUUAUUGAUAACGAGGGACGAAGGAGGCUAAGCUGGCCGGAUGUUGGUUACCGGUUUAAGCGUUCGAGAUGUUGAGAAACGGAGAAAACGUUUUGAGUUGAGGCGUGAUGACGAGAUGCUACGGCAUUGAAGCAGUCUAUGUCAGACUUCCAAGAAAAGCUCGCACUGUCAUAAAUAAAUAAUGCCUGUACCAUAACCGACACAGGUGGGUAGGUAGAGUAUACUAAGGGGCGCGAGAUAACUCUCUCUAAGGAACUCGGCAAAAUGACUCCGUAACUUCGGGA
rnacentral:rRNA from 1 species